AGUGAACGCUGGCGGUAGGCCUAACACAUGCAAGUCGAACGGCAGCACAGGAGAGCUUGCUCUCUGGGUGGCGAGUGGCGGACGGGUGAGGAAUACAUCGGAAUCUACUUUUUCGUGGGGGAUAACGUAGGGAAACUUACGCUAAUACCGCAUACGACCUACGGGUGAAAGCAGGGGAUCUUCGGACCUUGCGCGAUUGAAUGAGCCGAGGUCGGAUUAGAUAGGUGGCGGGGUAAAGGCCCAACAAGGCGACGACCCGUAGCUGGUCUGAGAGGAUGCUCAACCACACUGGAACUGAGACACGGUCCAGACUCCUACGGGAGGCAGCAGUGGGGAAUAUUGGACAAUGGGCGCAAGCCUGAUCCAGCCAUACCGCGUGGGUGAAGAAGGCCUUCGGGUUGUAAAGCCCUUUUGUUGGGAAAGAAAUCCAGCUGGUUAAUACCCGGUUGGGAUGACGGUACCCAAAGAAUAAGCACCGGCUAACUUCGUGCCAGCAGCCGCAGUAA
rnacentral:rRNA from 1 species